AUUGAACGCUGGCGGCAGGCUUAACACAUGCAAGUCGAACGAGUGGCGGACGGGUGAGUAAUGAUUGGGAAUCUAGCUUAUGGAGGGGGAUAACUACGGGAAACUGUAGCUAAUACCGCGUACCAUAGGAUGAGCCCAAGUGGGAUUAGGUAGUUGGUGGGGUAAAGGCUAACCAAGACGACGAUCGCUAGCUGGUCUGAGAGGAUGACCAGUCACACGUGGACUGAGACAGUGACCAGACUCCUACGGGAGGAAGCAGUGGGGAAUUUUGCGCAAUGGGGGCAACCUGACGCAGCCAUGCCGCGUGAAUGAAGAAGGCCUUCGGGUUGUAAAGUUCUUUCGGUAGCGAGGCGUUAACUACAGAAGAAGCACCGGCUAACUCCGUGCCAGCAGCCGCGGUAAUUC
rnacentral:rRNA from 1 species